GACGAACGCUGGCGGCGUGCUUAACACAUGCAAGUCGAACGAUGAACCCGGAGCUUGCUCCGGUGGAUUAGUGGCGAACGGGUGAGUAACACGUGAGUAACCUGCCCUUGACUCUGGGAUAACUGCGGGAAACUGUAGCUAAUACCGGAUACGACCCUCGGCGGCAUCGCCAGGGGGUGGAAAGAAUUUCGGUCAAGGAUGGACUCGCGGCCUAUCAGCUAGUUGGUGAGGUAACGGCUCACCAAGGCGACGACGGGUAGCCGGCCUGAGAGGGUGACCGGCCACACUGGGACUGAGACACGGCCCAGACUCCUAGGGGAGGCAGCAGUGGGGAAUAUUGCACAAUGGGCGCAAGCCUGAUGCAGAAACGCCGCGUGAGGGAUGACGGCCUUCGGGUUGUAAACCUCUUUUAGUAGGGAAGAAGCGAAAGUGACGGUACCUGCAGAAAAAGCACCGGCUAACUACGUGCCAGCAGCCGCCGUAA
rnacentral:rRNA from 1 species